ACGAACGCUGGCGGCGUGCUUAACACAUGCCAGUCGAACGGAAAGGCCCUGCUUGCAGGGUACUCGAGUGGCGAACGGGUGAGUAACACGUGGGUGAUCUGCCCUGCACUUCGGGAUAAGCCUGGGAAACUGGGUCUAAUACCGGAUAGGAGCCAUUUUUAGUGUGAUGGUUGGAAAGUUUUUUCGGUGUAGGAUGAGCUCGCGGCCUAUCAGCUUGUUGGUGGGGUAAUGGCCUACCAAGGCGGCGACGGGUAGCCGGCCUGAGAGGGUGGACGGCCACAUUGGGACUGAGAUACGGCCCAGACUCCUACGGGAGGCAGAAGGGGGGAAUAUUGAACAAUGGGCGCAAGCCUGAUGCAGCGACGCCGCGUGGGGGAUGACGGCCUUCGGGUUGUAAACUCCUUUCGCUAGGGACGAAGCUUUUUGUGACGGUACCUAGAUAAGAAGCACCGGCUAACUACGUG
rnacentral:rRNA from 1 species